UACAUGUGGGGCAAGCGUUGUUCGGAAUUACUGGGCGUAAAGCGUGCGCAGGCGGUUUUGUAAGACAGAGGUGAAAUCCCCGGGCUCAACCUGGGAACUGCCUUUGUGACUGCAAGGCUUGAGUGCGGCAGAGGGGGAUGGAAUUCCGCGUGUAGCAGUGAAAUGCGUAGAUAUGCGGAGGAACACCGAUGGCGAAGGCAAUCCCCUGGGCCUGCACUGACGCUCAUGCACGAAAGCGUGGGGAGCAAACAGG
rnacentral:rRNA from 1 species